GCUACUCGCGAGGUUCCAGUUUGGAGUGCUAUUUUGUAUCCAGUUCGGGAGGUGCUCCUCUUCCGAAAGUACGCGCUAAGCGUUCUAGAAAGAAGGUGGUGGUGGAAGAGAAGGAGAUGACAGAGGAUGAGGAGGAUGAGGAGCAGGAACAGACAGGACCCAUCAGGGCAACAGGCCCAUUGCCCACCUGAUGAAGAUGAGGUCGAGAAGGAGGAAGACGACGAGGUGGUGACCACCCCCCGCCAGGAGGCUCACAACAACAUGAAAAAAAAAAAAAAAAAGUGAAGCGGGAGCAGCGAGAACGGAUGAGGCAGUUCAGGGCACUGCAGAUGCGCAAGAUAAGGGAGCUGAAACUCCAAUUAUCCUGCCAGCUCGGCCUAAUGGAGAAGGCCAACCAAAAGGCCCUUGAUAAACUGCUCCAAGAGUAGAAAACAAUAUGAAA